GAUGGAGCAACGCCGCGUGAGUGAAGAAGGUUUUCGGAUCGUAAAACUCUGUUGUAAGGGAAGAACACAUACGAGAGUAACUGCUCGUAUCUUGACGGUACCUUAUUAGAAAGCCACGGCUAACUACGUGCCAGCAGCCGCGGUAAUACGUAGGUGGCAAGCGUUGUCCGGAAUUAUUGGGCGUAAAGCGCGCGCAGGCGGUUCUUUAAGUCUGAUGUGAAAGCCCACGGCUCAACCGUGGAGGGUCAUUGGAAACUGGAGAACUUGAGUACAGAAGAGGAAAGCGGAAUUCCACGUGUAGCGGUGAAAUGCGUAGAGAUGUGGAGGAACACCAGUGGCGAAGGCGGCUUUCUGGUCUGUAACUGACGCUGAGGCGC
rnacentral:rRNA from 2 species